UUUGCAGAGAUGUGGAUGGACAUAGAGAAUGUCAUACAGAGUGAAGUCAGAGAAAAUCAAAUAUAGUAUAGUAAUGCAUAUAUAUGGAAUCUAGAAAAAUAAUAUAGAUGAUAUUAUUUGCAAAGCAGAAAUAGAGACACAGACACAGAGAGCAAAUGUAUGGAUACCAAGGGGGAAAGUGAGGGGGCAGAACUGGGAGACUGGAUUGACACAUGUAUAUUACUGAUACUGUGUAUAAAACAGAUCAUUAAUUAGAACAUGCUGUAAAGCACAGGGAGCUCUACUUAAUGCACUGUGGUGACCGGAAUGGGAAGGAGUCCAAAAGGGAGAGGAUAUAUGUGUAUGUAUAGCUGAUUCAUUUUCCUGUAUAGUAGAAACUCACACAACACUGUAAUGCUUCUAUCCUCCAAUACAAAUGAGCCUUAAAAAUUAAAAAAAAAUUUAUGCUGUAUUAGAAUCCUGACUACCUCUCUGAGUUAAAAAUACACCAAAACAGUUUAUUAGUAAGGAAGGUAUUUAAACCAAAGCAUGGCAGUAUAAGAUCAAUUACUUAUAGCCUAAUAUCAACUUGCACUGUUUUCAAGAGAAAUAAAGUUUGCAGCAUCUAGUAGUCUAAUAACUAUGGUCAACAACACAUUAUUGCUUUGACCAACUGAAUUGUUCCCAUAAUGCAUAAGCUUACUAAUCACUCUAACUUAUAUUGAGAUACUUACUGGUUAGUGUUAAAUAUUUCCCUCUGUUUUGCCUUGAUUACUACAAUGGACAUUUAUUGCUUUCUGCCUAUUCACUGUCAUCACCUUUCUGGGGACUAUGGGUAAACACAUCCUGACUUCUCUGCCUACUGUUUGUUCUUGUGCUUUUGACCAGACUCAACAUGAUACAUGCAGCCCUGAUCCAGACUACUCACUGGCUCACUUUGCUCUGGUUUCAGUGAUGAUUUCAGGAAAGGUCAUUUGUCCCAGUGAUUUCUCAGCAGUCCCCAAACUUUUCGGAACCAGGGACUGAUUUCCUGGAAGAUAAUUUUUCCAUAGAUCAGGUGUAGAGGGGAUAGUUUAAGGGUGAUUCAAGUGCAUUACAUUUAUUGUGCUCUUUUUUUUUAAUUUUUGGGAAUAGUUUAUUGUGAAGCAAUAAGAAAGGAAAUUUUAACAUAUGUAAUAUCAGAAUAUGAACACAUAUGAAGAGAAUCCUGUGAUAAAGCAAAAACAAUUGUUCCCCCACCUUCAUUUUCACAUGUAGUUAUGGGGUUCACAAGCUACUCAGUCAUUAUUAUGCUUAAUACUGUGAGGAUCAAAUAGCUUUUUCAGAGAUUUUGUACUAUUUGAAUGUAAUAGUUAAUGGAUUCUUAAGUGGUUUUAGUAGGACCAUUCUCACCACAAGAAUGGAAAAUUGUACACUUUAUUUCUAAUCUAAUGCCACUGCUCCUCUGCAGCAGGUAUUGGUCCUUGGCCUGCAGGCUGGGGACCCCUGCUCUACCCCUAUUUUCUGAGCAUAAACUUGCAAAUUAAAUUAACCAUAUUACUUUAUCUAUCAUAGAAUGAAAGAGUUGGAAAUGACCUUAAAUAGCAUGUAAUCUCUGCUUCCCUUUCUCUUCCUGAAAAAAACUCGUUCUGAAGCCAAAAAAAUGGGUAGAAAAAAGGAAGCAUUGCNNNNNNNNNNNNNNNGGACCGCUGGUGGUCCAGAUCGCAUGGUGGGGUGGCAGAGUUCAAAGAGGGUGGGGCAUGUCUCCAAAUGGAGAGAUUACCUGGCAUGAGAUGUUGGAGCCUGAGAAGACUAAAUAUCUGCAGGGAGUGGGCAGGGCAGCUGCUAUGAAAAGCCAUAGGCUGAGUCGGGUGAGAAAAGCAAAGUUUCCAACGGAAAAAGUUUCACAGUACUGUACUACAAAAUUUUAUUCUUUAUUUGUAAAAGUUGUAUAGAUUUAAGUGGUUUUAAUAUACAUGUACAUCAUGAAAUGAUUACAACACUCAAGCUAAUGAACGUGUCCAUUACCUCACAUAAUUACGUAAAUACUUACUAGUUUUAAAAAGUGAAAGAGUAACUUUGCAGUGGAAAAGCCCAGCAGCCACAACCUCACUCACAGGAUCAAAGUGAACCCCAAAUGGGACAAACUGAAAUCAUAGAUGACCAGAAAAGAUGCAACUCAAACAAUGCAACAUUCCCUUUGUGCUCUUACUGUCAAGUGUAAAUAACUUUAACCAUGAAGCACCAUUACUUAAACCAAACUGAGGAACACUGCACAAAACAAAACAAGUCAAAAAGCCCAAAGAACUGCUACAGAAUGAAAGAAACUAAAGGGACUUCUAGUUUUCAAUUCUGCAUGUAAGGAGCAGGAAGUAGUGAUUCUGUCUCAAUAGUAAGUAAAAAGCUGAACAGGCCAAUAAAUCAAUAACUCUUUUAGAAUCCAUACAAGGGAAGACACAGGGCAAAUUGCUUUCCCUCAAAUUAUGGAGAAAGACAGGAGAAUACAGGGAAUAAGAAUUCACCAGAGCAGAGACUCACAGGAGGAAACCACUGUGGGAACCAGUACAGGGUAGGAAAACCUGAACUGUUAUUGAUGAGUUGUUGAAUGCUCAGUGAGAUGAAAGGAUAUCCCAACUGAAUACGCAGCGUGAUUCUGAACAGUCUUUAUUUGCAAUUAACAAUAUUAUUGUUCAGUUCAGUUGCUCAGUCGUUUCCGACUCUUUGCGACCCCUUGAAUCGCAGCAUGCCAGGCUUCCCUGUCCAUCACCAUCUCCCAGAGUUC
rnacentral:lncRNA from 1 species